rnacentral:lncRNA from 1 species
AUGAGCAGGGAUUGUAUCUUAUCCAUUUUUUUAUCCCAAGCACCUAGGAUCAUACUUGAUAUGUGCCUGAAACAUGGGAAACCCUCAGUGCAUAUUUUUGAACUUUUUAUUACAGUGUUUCAUGUGGAGAUUGUCCCUGUUUCUGAUGGUGAUACACUAGAAGAACCCACAGUGGCAUCCUGUAGACUCCCUGUUGCAGUGACAGCACAUGGGCUUUUCAUCUGCGCUCUCUGCAAUGAUCCUGCGAUCUGCCACACAAUCAGUUCCUUAGAAAAGAACAAUGCUACCAGAAAGAAAGAAAGUACUGGCAACAUGGUAAAGAAUAUGAGGCCUUUUAUAAGAUUUGUAAAUAUAAAUGAAUCUUGAUAACAAAUGGCAUCAAAAUAUGAAUUAUUGCUAUUAUUCAAAAGAAGAAUCAGGACAUUUUUGGCAACAAAUGCAAAUGAACCUGAGUGUCUGGGCUUUUGAUCUGGACUGUGUAAACACAGGCUCAUAACUAGGUAGUUUUGUGUUUAUAUUGGUGGAGCCUCUAAAGUUAUGCUUACAGAUCCAGGAACAAUGUGACAUUCAAGAAAGAGCAAACACAAUCUUAAGUCUUACCUCCUAUGUCCCUUGACUCCAGGAGUGUUUGUCCAAGUUAUCCCUGUAUUUUAUGGAGCAGGUUAUUGUAAAAAUUGUACAGAUGCAGUUCUAUGUCUAAAUGCUACACAUAUAUUUAUUUAAGUGGGAUUGGUCUCUAAUGAAAUGUCCUCCUUUUGAGACAAUUAUAGGCCAUUGGCAAUCUGCAUAGUAAUUUAUCACCUCAUUUUCAGUCAUUAUCACUGUUAGUCAACCAUGUGUUCCACAGUCUUAACAUCACAGAGAGUUCACCGGGAUUAGUUAGGUGUUUUAAGAUUCAUUAUCAUCACCAUUAUUACUACAAAUCACACCAUUUAUUUAGCACCAACAAUCUGCUGAAGAAAGCAAGUUGGCACAAUCUAAUGUGGAUAAGAAACCGGCCUCCUGCAUAAAAGAAGCCUGGGACUCCAGCUCCAGGCAACAAUAAGUGAGGUAAGAUGACUGGUAGGCUCUUAAGAAAGGGUACAGAAGUUACAUAGUUUCAAACCCCCCAUAAUGUGGUCUCCUGGAAGGACAAAUAUUUUGCAAAACUCCUCUUAUUUCUCCUAAUGGCCUGAUCAAUAGAAAGUAAAGACAGCUGACCAGAAGGCAUAUUAAGAUGAAAGGACUUGGACAAACUGCCUGUGUUUAUGGCAUAAAAUUGUUUUUUUUUUUUUUUUCUGAAAAGCCUUUAAAACUAGAACCCUCUCAAAACUGUCUGAGCUUGAAGUUGGUGUAUGAGUUUACUUGUCUCAGGGUUCUUCACUCUACUAGCAUGGGGUACCUCUGUAACAUACAGAGAAAUGAUCCAUCCAGUUAGCUGAAGUGGGUGGCAUGAGCCUGGCAGUCUGAGUUUAGCCAUCAGAAUACUAUAUGAUAUAAAAGGAUACAUUUUCUUCUGAUCUAAUUAUUGCAAGCAAUGUAAGGCUCUACUAUGACUUACUUGGAGUAUAAAGGGCACCUACUAUAAUAUUCCUUAAUUCAUUUUAUAAAAUGUAAACAUUUAAAAGUUCAGUGAUUGUAAUUAUGAUAAUAAAAUUUGAAAUUUGACUUGGAAACUAAGUUAA